GGUCUAUUAGUGUAGUGGUGAGCACAUCGGAUUUUGACGUAAGCAGCGUAUUCUAUACGAAUAUGAUGUGAUGCUGAAUGUUCCGGUAACCCCGGUUCGACUCCGGGAUAGACCU